UAACCUGAAUAAAAAGGAAAAAUGUGUAAAAUAAAUCAUAAUAAUUUGAUUUAAAUACAGAAAUGCUGAUUUGUGCUAUUUUCUUUUAUUUUUGCAUCAAACAGAGGAAGAAACUAGCUGACUCUGCACUCUGCUCUGUCAUCAGAACAGGAAAAGUAAAAAAAAAAAAAACAUAUUUCCAGUUAAUCAACGACAGACAAAACUCCUUAAAAGGUGAAGAUAAACAGAAGAAGAGAGAAGAAGAACUAAAGUCAACAAGAAUCUAGAGAUGGAGGAGAAAUGGUGAAACUCUCAUCCGUCAAGUGAACUUCUCUUACUUUCUUUCUUUCUUUUUUACUAUUCUUACAUUUAAUUACAGGUUCUUAAAAAAAAAAAAAAAAACCUCAACGACUCUUUUAGACUCUCAAGAGUUCAGCUGCUGGAGGUCAGCGGUCCUCUCAGAAGUUAUGCAACCUUUGGAUGUGGUGCAUACCUGUGUCGAUGAGCUCCCAGAGCCUGGAGCUGCAGAGACAGGAGGAGCAGCAGGACACAGAGCCAUGCCGGAGAGGAGGCGCGCAUGGUGGGGAGAUAUGAUCCAAAAUUCACCAAAAAAUAAUAUAAGAAAAAAUAUCCUUUGCAAAAAAGAAAACUGCAGGAUUGUCUAACCUGAAGAAGCUUCCAUUGAGUCACUUAUAGAUAGAUGGCUGUCAGAGUCAGCAUCUCAGGAUGCAAUCACAGCAUCCUUCACACACUGAAAAUGUCAGAUUGUGCAGCACAAAUUGGUCAAACUUGCGUUUUUUUCAUUUAUAAAGGCGUGCUGGAGGAGAAGGAGGAGGUAGAGGUGGGAGGGGGACGGCUUACUGCCUCGUCCUUCUCAGCAACUUAACCUCACACGGACACAACAAGCUAAUUAAACGUGGACAGUUCCACUUACCUUAAACCACUCGGUUGUAGAAGGAAAAAAAAAAA